rnacentral:rRNA from 1 species
GAUGAACGCUGGCGGCGUGCCUAAUACAUGCAAGUCGAGCGAACAGAUGAGGAGCUUGCUCCUCUGACGUUAGCGGCGGACGGGUGAGUAACACGUGGAUAACCUACCUAUAAGACUGGGAUAACUUCGGGAAACCGGAGCUAAUACCGGAUAAUAUAUUGAACCGCAUGGUUCAAUAGUGAAAGACGGUUUUGCUGUCACUUAUAGAUGGAUCCGCGCUGCAUUAGCUAGUUGGUAAGGUAACGGCUUACCAAGGCAACGAUGCGUAGCCGACCUGAGGGGGGGAUCGGCCACACUGGAACUGAGACACGGUCCAGGCUCCUACGGGAGGCAGCAGUAGGGAAUCUUCCGCAAUGGGCGAAAGCCUGACGGAGCAACGCCGGGUGGGUGAUGAAGGUCUGCGGAUCGUAAAACUCUGUUAUGAGGGAAGAACAAAUGUGUAAGUAACUAUGCACGUCUGGAGGGAACCGAAGCAGAAGGCCACGGCAAACUACGG